CCUGCAGAGGUUUCCUGAAACUUUAAUCUCUCAGUCUGCUUCUGAUGCUCAAAAUUAACUUUUCCACCGUAUUCUAGUUUUUUCAGCGGCUCCCAGACUGACAGUUGACUUUUUGAUUGUUAAAUUCAUGAUAAAUGUUAAAGUCUAGAAUCUGCACUUGUUGCAGGUUUUGUUCUCUUCAUGUUUUGAAGGAUGAGUCACUGAGAAAAACGAUCAGUCAGUCAGCUUCUCAUCAGGGAAAUGAUGAGUUCAGCAGAAAUCACAUCAGACCACCAACAAACAGCCUAAAGCAGAAACAAACUGUGAACACAUCAACACGUCAUCACAUCAAGCUUUUCUCCUCCAGCAGCCGCAGAGCAACACGAUGCUUCAUGGGGAGGCGGGUUUGUCUUCAUGCGGGAACUGUAAAGGUUCAUUCUGCAAAACAACUUUUGCCCAGACCAGCUUUUACUGUCAAAGUCCUGGAACUCGCUACCUAAAUACUGAAAAUCUGCUGCAAACUUCACCACCUUUAAGAGACUUUCCAUCUCCUUUUUAAUUCAGCAACACACGUGUGCUCCUAGUCUUCUGUAAUUCCUAUUAAAAGUGUGUUAUUUAUUUAUUUUUUAACCAGGAAGUGCCUUGAGAUUAAAAUUCUAUUUUUCGAAGGAGACUUGGCAAAGGUUACCUCACUCUCUUUUUUUUCCCACAAAAAGCCCUGGACGGGUGCAUCUGCUGUAAACACAGUGAUACUUGCAUCAUAUUGUACCUGUCCCUGUCAAAUAAACCAUAAACAUACA